GGCCUAUACCUUUUCUGGGAGAAAGGAUGCACCUAACAUCCUAACCAAAACAGAACUUUACAUUCUGUGGUGUAUGCACACACAACAGAAAAUUCACUUAGGAUAUUGGGUAGCAACACAAAUCUCAAGCAUCAUACAAUACAAUAGGCCACUGAUCUUUGGGCAUCUGAUCACUGCCAUAGCAGUGAAUCAGAAGCUGUUACACCCUGCCCAUACUGACCUCACCCCCACUGGUAAGCAAA
rnacentral:lncRNA from 1 species